GCCCAGACUCCUACGGGAGGCAGCAGGGGGGAAUAUCGCACAAUGGGGGAAACCCUGAUGCAGCGACGCCGCGUGAGCGAGGAAGUAUUUCGGUAUGUAAAGCUCUGUCAGCAGGGAAGAAGAAUGACGGUACCUGAAGGAGAAGCACCGGCUAAAUACGUGCCAGCAGCCGCGGUAAUACGUAUGGUGCAAGCGUUAUCCGGAUUUACUGGGUGUAAAGGGAGCGCAGGCGGUUCUGCAAGUCUGAUGUGAAGGCCCGGGGCUCAACCGCGGGACUGCAUUGGAAACUGCGGGACUGGAGUGUCGGAGGGGUAAGCGGAAUUCCUGGUGUAGCGGUGAAAUGCGUAGAUAUCAGGAGGAACACCGGUGGCGAAGGCGGCUUACUGGACGAUGACUGACGCUGAGGCUCGAAAGCGUGGGGAGCAAACAGGAUUAGAUACCCCUGUA
rnacentral:rRNA from 1 species